AUUGAACGCUGGCGGCAGGCUUAACACAUGCAAGUCGAACGAGUGGCGGACGGGUGAGUAAUGCUUGGGAAUCUAGCUUAUGGAGGUGGAUCACUACGGGAAAAUGUAGCUAAUACCGCGUACGAUAGGAUGAGCCCAAGUGGGAUUAGGUAGUUGUGUAGGUAAAGGCUCACCAAGCCGACGAUCUCUAGCUGGUCUUAGAGGAUGACCAGCCACACUGGGACUGAGACACGGCCCAUACUCCUACGGGAGGCAGCAGUGGGUAAUAUUGCGCAAUGGGUGCAACGCUGACGCAGCCAUGCCGCGUGAAUGAAGAAGGCCUUAGGGUUGUAAAGUACUUUCAGCGGGUAGGCGUUACCCGCAGAAGAAGCACCGGCUAACUCCGUGCCAGCCGCCGCGGUAAUAC
rnacentral:rRNA from 1 species